CCCAGCUACUCAGGCUGAGGCAGAAGAACUGCUUGAACCUGGGAGGCAGAAAUUGCAGUGAGCCGAGAGCCACUCCACUCCAACCUGGGCAACAGAGCAAGACUCCGUCUCCAGAAAAAAAAGAGAGAGAAGGGGGUUAGGAUUGGAAUGGGACACACAAAAAGGACUUCUAAGGUAAGGAGCUGGUUGAAUUCAAGCAUGCAAAACCCAUGGGUAUAGAAGGCCAACUGUAAUAAUUUUGUCUGCUCCAUGAAGAAUAACGAAUAGACUCAAAGGGAUAAUCAAAGAAGCAGCAAGACCACUUAGGAAGCUCCUGCAAUCAUCCAGGAGAUUAUUUUAAACUUGAUGGAUCAAUCCUCUUAAGGAUAACGAAUUUGGAUUUGCAAGAAUUCAAGGCAAUUCCGGGCCCAGCUUUUUGGAGGUAAAUCCACUGAGCCGGUGUGUACCUCACAAUAAAUAUCCUCCUGUAUUCACGCAUACUGGUCUCUCUAAUCCUCUGCGUCCCGCAACAAGCUGAGAGCGCGCCACUGCACUUGCAGUCUUGCACAUAGCAAGACUAUGUCUCAACAACAACAAAAAAGGGUCUCGCUCUGUUGCCAAGGCUGGAGUGCAGUGGAGUGAUCUCGGCUCACAGCAACCUCAGCAUCCUGAGUUCAAGCACGUCUCAUGCCUCAGCCUCCCAAGUAGCUGGGAUUAUAGGCACGCGCCACCACACCAGGCUAAUUUUUGUAUUUUUUUUUUAUACUUUAAGUUUUAGGGUACAUGUGCACAUUGUGCAGGUUAGUUACAUAUGUAUACAUGUGCCAUGCUGGCGCACUGAACCCACUAACUCGUCAUCUAGCAUUAGGUAUAUCGCCUGAUGCUAUCCCUCCCCCCUCCCCCUACCCCACAACAGUCCCCAGAGUGUGAUAUUCCCCUUUCUGUGUCCAUGUGAUCUCAUUGUUCAAUUCCCACCUAUGAGUGAGAAUAUGCG
rnacentral:lncRNA from 1 species